rnacentral:rRNA from 1 species
UACUCGAGUGGCGAACGGGUGAGUAACACGUGGGUGAUCUGCCCUGCACUUCGGGAUAAGCCUGGGAAACUGGGUCUGAUACCGGAUAGGACCACAUUUUGGAUGGUGUGGUGGAAAGUUUUUCGGUGUGGGAUGAGCUCGCGACCUAUCAGCUUGUUGGUGGGGUAAUGGCCUACCAAGGCGUCGACGGGUAGCCGGCCUGAGAGGGUGUACGGCCACAUUGGGACUGAGAUACGGCCCAG